UGCCCGCCCGCCCGCUGGCCGGGCUGUCACCGUCUCAUCUGCAUAGGCGCCCGCCCAUUGGGCCGCCCACCCGCGCCUUAUCUGCAUGGCCACGCCCCCGGCGACCGAGCAACAGCCGCCUAUUGGCGAAUAAGCUUCCUGACGAAGACUCUCGGGCGUGCAACCGCACCGCCCAACACGACGCAUGCUCGCAACUGCCUACUCACUCCGCUCGCCACGCCCCCUCCGUGCAACUGCCUCGGGGCCCUGGCCACGCCCCCCCACGCGUCACAAUGAAACAAGCCCGCCCUUGCUUCAAUGCCAUUGGUCUGUGCCUGGCCGGUCCUGCAGCAGGUUCCACCCUCUUGCGGGCGAGCGCUGGCUACCAUUGGACUGUCCGGCGCGAGGGGAAGGGUGAUCUAUAAAUAGGGAAUGGGUACACGUGACAGUUUGGCAGCUGCUCCUACCCCUCCACCCCGCCCAACCUUCAGCUUCUGAGGCUGCGCAGGGGGAGAAAAGGGUUAGGGGGUCGAGCCCUGACUUCGCCUCCUCUUCCAAGAAGCCUUCCCAGACACUCAGCUGUAAAACCAGACGGACGUCCUCCGAUGAAAUUGUUUCUACUUAGGGCCGGCUUCACCGGCUUGGAAUCCACUUAGAAGGGUCUUCGCGCUUGGUUGAAUGUUCUGCAAUUUCUGUCUUGAAAUUUUUAGUUUUUGAGCAAGGGGCCCCUUAUUUUCACUUUGCACUAGGCCAAAUAUGUAGCCGGUCUUGCUGCUAAGAGUCUAAGAUCGAUUGCAUUCCAAAUUCUGGAAUUAUAAGACCCUGGGUGGAAGAUUCUAUGCUUUGACCAGAAGAGAGUCUAAGCAGCUUUUGUCUCCCAGGUGCUAGGAGGAUGUGUGCUCAUCAUUCUUCCAUUCCAGGGGCCUUUGUUCUACGUUCUAAGGGGCUUUGUUCUCAGCCUUCUAUGAUGCUCUAUUCUCAACGUUCUCUGGUCCUAGGAGUCUGAGCCUGACAUUCGUUUCCAAGGCUUCCUGCUGUCUCUCCAGGCUCCGCAAGCAGGGCUGGGGCACCCUCAGGCGGCCAAUCUGUAUCACUACGCCGAGCCUGCCUCUACCAACUUCCAAGACCUAGCUCUAAUAUUCAUACUCAUCUCUCAGACAGACCUUGGCUCCCUAAAAGCCAAGGCCCAGAAGAUCAUACAAGAAAUUCCCUCUUUUAUGAUUCCCCGUGCACGAAGUGACCUUCUGGUGGUGAGAUGGAGAGAAAUUGAUAGUGGCGAUAGACAGCAAAGUCUCCAGGAGCCAGACUUCCUCGGGAAACUUGGGGCACGUGUGGAGUGUGAGUGAGUGAGCUGCUGGAAUGAACUGACCAGACAGGACAUCAUCUAUGUAUGGGAUUAGAAUGGAAUUACAGGAGAAAACCAAAUCCCUCAAAUUAGCAUUCAGGAUCGGAAAAAAAAGCUGUGUUGCCCAAACUGGACUCGAACUCCUGGACUCCAGCGAUCCUCCCACCUCAGCCGCUUAAGUAGCUGGGAAUACAGUCACCCGCCACCAUGCCCAGCUUUCAGAUAGGUCUUUGCAGCACGGCCCAUGCUCUUAGACCACCACCAAGACCUUGUCUUGUCCUGCACCGAGCAACCUCCGUGUCACCCUGCUCCACCUGCUCCAUGAAGCCGCACCCUCCAGAGAGGACCCUUCCCCUUUCCACCCUUCGCGGACCACUCAAUGAGCUACCCUGCACCUGACCCCUUCUGUCCAAGUCAUCACAGUAUUCCCAGAGCUGGAACAGUCAAUGCCUGGCACAUCGUGGGCACUCAACAUGUUGAAUCAAUGGUUACAAAUACAUGAAUGUACUUGUUGAAUAAAUGGUUAUAAAUAAAUGAAUGAAUGAUCCCCCCCCU
rnacentral:lncRNA from 1 species